UGACAUCCCGGUGACGCAUGAGCAAAGUCAUGUUUCCUUCGGGGCACCGGAGACAGGUGGUGCAUGGUUGUCGUCAGCUCGUGUCGUGAGAUGUUGGGUUAAGUCCCGCAACGAGCGCAACCCCUAUUUUCAGUAGCCAGCAUGUAAAGAUGGGCACUCUGGAGAGACUGCCUGGGAUAACCAGGAGGAAGGCGGGGAUGACGUCAAAUCAUCAUGCCCCUUAUGAUCAGGGCUACACACGUGCUACAAUGGCGUAAACAAAGGGAAGCAAAGCGGUGACGCCAAGCAAAUCCCAAAGAUAACGUCUCAGUUCGGAUUGUAGUCUGCAACUCGACUACAUGAAGCUGGAAUCGCUAGUAAUCGCGAAUCAGAAUGUCGCGGUGAAUACGUUCCCGGGUCUUGUACACACCGCCCGUCACACCAUGGGAGUCGGAAAUGCCCGAAGUCAGUGACCUAACCGAAAGGGAGGAGCUGCCGAAGGUGGAGCCGGUAACUGGGGUGAAGUCGUAACAAGGUAGCCGUAUCGGAAGGUG
rnacentral:rRNA from 1 species